UAUGUGAUCGUCUCUCGCAUAUCAAUAAGCGGGGAAAAGAAACUAACAAGGAUUCCCCUAGUAACGGCGAGUGAAGCGGGAAGAGCUCAAAUUUGAAAUCUUAAAGGGUUUCCCUUUACGAAUUGUAGUUUAAAGAAGUGUUUUCUGUUGAGGUUUUGGUAAAAGUUCUUUGGAAUAGGACAUCAUAGAGGGUGAGAAUCCCGUAUUUGACCUUUACUUUCAACUUUGUGAUACACUUUCAAAGAGUCGGAUUGUUUGGGAAUGCAGUCCAAAGUGGGUGGUAAAUUUCAUCUAAAGCUAAAUAUUGGCGAGAGACCGAUAGCGAACAAGUACCGUGAGGGAAAGAUGAGAAGAACUUUGAAAAGAGAGUUAAACAGUACGUGAAAUUGUCAAAAGGGAAGCGUUUGACACCAGUGUUGUUUUUCUGAAAAUCAAUUAAAGAACUGUUUAUGCUAAGUUGUUUAGACUUUAUCAGCUAACUGUUUAGUUUUGAGCUUUUCUUUAAUGCACUUUUCAGUUAACAAGUCAACAUCAAUUUCUUUUGCUGUAAAAAAGCUUGAGGAAGGUGGCUUGAGAUUCGUCUUAAGUGUUUAUAGCCUCUUGCCUAUGCAGUCGGAGAGAUUGAGGUCUGCAGCGUAGAUCCUUCGGGGCUAAAUGCAUUUGUGCUAAGUUAUAGCAUUUUAUAGACAACUUGUUGACUAUGAUUUGUCUUGUAGCUUACUCGCUUAUGUUAUUUUACCUACGCUUAGGAUGUUGAGCGCAUGUCUCUCUCU
rnacentral:rRNA from 1 species